rnacentral:rRNA from 1 species
CGGGCGGGGGAGUAAUGUCUGGGAAACUGCCUGAUGGAGGGGGGUAACUACUGGAAACGGUAGCUAAUACCGCAUAACGUCGCAAGACCAAAGAGGGGGACCUUCGGGCCUCUUGCCAUCGGAUGUGCCCAGAUGGGAUUAGCUAGUAGGUGGGGUAACGGCUCACCUAGGCGACGAUCCCUAGCUGGUCUGAGAGGAUGACCAGCCACACUGGAACUGAGACACGGUCCAG